AGCCUGGCUAGCUCAGUUGGUAGAGCAUGAGACUCUUAAUCUCAGUGUUGUGGGUUGGAACCCCACGUUGGCUG